rnacentral:rRNA from 1 species
GGUGAACGCUGGCGGCGUGCUUAACACAUGCAAGUCGAGCGAGAAGUUUUGAAAAGAUUCUUCGGAUGAAAUUUAAAAUGGAAAGCGGCGGACGGGUGAGUAACGCGUAGGCAACCUGCCCCAUACAAAGGGAUAGCAUUUGGAAACGAAUAUUAAUACCUUAUGAAACUUAACUAGUGCAUGCUAGGUAGGUCAAAGAUUUAUCGGUAUGGGAUGGGCCUGCGUCUGAUUAGCUAGUUGGUGAGGUAACGGCUCACCAAGGCGACGAUCAGUAGCCGACCUGAGAGGGUGAACGGCCACAUUGGAACUGAGACACGGUCCAAACUCCUACGGGAGGCAGCAGUGGGGAAUAUUGCACAAUGGGGGAAACCCUGAUGCAGCAACGCCGCGUGAACGAUGAAGGCCUUUGGGUCGUAAAGUUCUGUUCUAGGUGAUGAAAACUGACAGUAACCUAGGAGAAAGCCCCGGCUAACUCCGUG